UGGGGAAUAUUGCACAAUGGGCGCAAGCCUGAUGCAGCCAUGCCGCGUGUAUGAAGAAGGCCUUCGGGUUGUAAAGUACUUUCAGCGAGGAGGAAGGCGUUGUGGUUAAUAACCGCAGCGAUUGACGUUACUCGCAGAAGAAGCACCGGCUAACUCCGUGCCAGCAGCCGCGGUAAUACGGAGGGUGCAAGCGUCAAUCGGAAUUACUGGGUGUAAAGCGCACGCAGGCGGUCUGUCAAGUCGGAUGUGAAAUCCCCGGGCUCAACCUGGGAACUGCAUCCGAAACUGGCAGGCUAGAGUCUUGUAGAGGGGGGUAGAAUUCCAGGUGUAGCGGUGAAAUGCGUAGAGAUCUGGAGGAAUACCGGUGGCGAAGGCGGCCCCCUGGACAAAGACUGACGCUCAGGUGCGAAAGCGUGGGGAGCAAACA
rnacentral:rRNA from 1 species